CCUACGGGAGGCAGCAGUGGGGAAUAUUGGGCAAUGGGCGCAAGCCUGACGCAGCAACGCCGCGUGAAGGAAGAAGGCCCUCGGGUUGUAAACUUCUUUUAUUCGGGACGAAACAAAUGACGGUAACGCAUGAAUAAGCCACGGCUAACUACGUGCCAGCAGCCGCGGUAAUACGUAGGUGGCAAGCGUUAUCCGGAUUUACUGGGAGUAAAGGGCGGGUAGGCGGGAGAGCAAGUCAGACGUGAAAUUCCAGGGCUCAACCCUGGAACUGCGUUUGAAACUGUUCUUCUUGAGUGAUGGAGAGGGAGGCGGAAUUCCGUGUGUAGCGGUGAAAUGCGUAGAUAUACGGAGGAACACCAGUGGCGAAGGCGGCCUGCUGGACAUUAACUGACGCUGAGGCGCGAAAGCGUGGGGAGCAAACAGGAUUAGAUACCCCAGUAGUC
rnacentral:rRNA from 1 species